CAGAGCCCUCCUGAUCCAAUCACAACCCCAAACCCCACCUCUGAACACGGCUGCAUGGGGGACCAAGCUUCAGUACUUGGACUGAAUUCUGGACCCCUCAUCCCACCGCCUGCUGUGAACACACACUAGGCCAUCUUCAUGAGCCUUGCAGGGGGUGCACCCAGGGCACGGAGAGAAGGCACUGUCCGUGAAGAGGAAGUGGACCCUCACCAGACACUGAAUCCGCCAGCACCUUGAUCUUGGAUUACCA